CAGCAGCCACGGUAAUACGGAGGGUGCAAGCGUUAAUCGGAAUUACUGGGCGUAAAGCGCACGCUGGCGGUCUGACAAGUCAGAUGUGAAAUCCCCGGGCUUAACCUGGGAACUGCAUUUGAAACUGUCAGGCUGGAGUCUUGUAGAGGGGGGUAGAAUUCCAGGUGUAGCGGUGAAAUGCGUAGAGAUCUGGAGGAAUACCGGUGGCGAAGGCGGCCCCCUGGACAAAGACUGACGCUCAGGUGCGAAAGCGUGGGGAGCAAACAGGAUUAGAUACCCCGGUAGUCCCUGUCUCUUAUAC
rnacentral:rRNA from 1 species